rnacentral:rRNA from 1 species
UAAGGAAUAUUGGACAAUGGAGGCAACUCUGAUCCAGCCAUGCCGCGUGAAGGAAUAAGGCCCUAUGGGUUGUAAACUUCUUUUAGACGGGACAAAACCCCUUUACGUGUAAAGGGUUGAUGGUACUGUCAGAAUAAGCAUCGGCUAACUUCGUGCCAGCAGCCGCGGUAAUACGAAGGAUGCAAGCGUUAUCCGGAAUUAUUGGGUUUAAAGGGUGCGUAGGCGGACUAAUAAGUCAGUGGUGAAAGCCUGCAGCUUAACUGCAGAAUUGACAUUGAUACUGUUAGUCUUGAGUACAGUUGAGGUAGGCGGAAUGUGUCAUGUAGCGGUGAAAUGCUUAGAUAUGACACAGAACACCGAUUGCGAAGGCAGCUUGCUAAGCUGUAACUGACGCUGAGGCACGAAAGCGUGGGGAGCAAACA